AACGAACGCUGGCGGCAUGCCUAAUACAUGCAAGUCGAACGAGACCUUCGGGUCUAGUGGCGCACGGGUGCGUAACGCGUGGGAAUCUGCCCUUGGGUUCGGAAUAACAGUUAGAAAUGACUGCUAAUACCGGAUGAUGACGAAAGUCCAAAGAUUUAUCGCCCAGGGAUGAGCCCGCGUAGGAUUAGCUAGUUGGUGAG
rnacentral:rRNA from 1 species